rnacentral:tRNA from 1 species
GCUAGGGUCAGGUUAACUGGUUAGGGCUUCGGGUUUGGAACCGAAAGGUUCCCGGUUCGAUCCCCGACCUAGGAA